rnacentral:rRNA from 1 species
AUUGAACGCUGGCGGCAGGCCUAACACAUGCAAGUCGAACGAGUGGCGGACGGGUGAGUAAUGUCUGGGAAACUGCCUGAUGGAGGGGGAUAACUACUGGAAACGGUAGCUAAUACCGCAUACCAUCGGAUGUGCCCAGAUGGGAUUAGCUAGUAGGUGGGGUAAAGGCUCACCAAGGCGACGAUCCCUAGCUGGUCUGAGAGGAUGACCAGCCACACCGGAACUGAGAACGGGGCCCGACUCCUACGGGAGGCAGAAGGUGGGAAUAUUUGGCAAUUGGCGCAAGCCUGAUGCAGCCAUUCCGCGUGUGUGAAGAAGGGCUUCGGGGUUUAAAAUACUUUCAGCGGGGAAGCGUUACCCACCGAAAAAGCACCGGCUAACUCCGUGCCAGCAGCCGCGGUAAUUC